rnacentral:rRNA from 1 species
GAAUAUUGCGCAAUGGAGGAAACUCUGACGCAGCGACGCCGCGUGAGCGAUGAAGGUCUUCGGAUCGUAAAGCUCUGUCCUGGGGGAAGAAGAUCGAAAGAUUUGACGGUACCCGAGGAGGAAGCACCGGCAAACUACGUCCCAGCAGCCGCGGUAAUACGUAGGGGGCAAGCGUUGUCCGGAAUUACUGGGCGUACAGCGUGCGCAGGCGGUUUUGUAAGACAGAGGUGAAAUCCCCGGGCUCAACCUGGGAACUGCCUUUGUGACUGCAAGGCUAGAGUACGGCAGAGGGGGGUGGAAUUCCGCGUGUAGCAGUGAAAUGCGUAGAUAUGCGGAGGAACACCGAUGGCGAAGGCAACCCCCUGGGCCUGUACUGACGCUCAUGCACGAAAGCGUGGGGAGCAAAC